rnacentral:rRNA from 1 species
CAGCAGCCGCGGUAAUACGGAGGGCGCGAGCGUUACCCGGAUUUACUGGGCGUAAAGGGCGUGUAGGCGGCCUGGGGCGUCCCAUGUGAAAGGCCACGGCUCAACCGUGGAGGAGCGUGGGAUACGCUCAGGCUAGAGGGUGGGAGAGGGUGGUGGAAUUCCCGGAGUAGCGGUGAAAUGCGCAGAUACCGGGAGGAACGCCGAUGGCGAAGGCAGCCACCUGGUCCACUUCUGACGCUGAGGCGCGAAAGCGUGGGGAGCAAACCGGAUUAGAUACCCCAGUAGUCCCUGUCUCUUAUAC